rnacentral:lncRNA from 1 species
CCUGCCUGCACCCAGGUGACUAAAAAGCUUUAUUGCUCACACAAAGCCUGUUUGGUGGUCUCUUCACAUGUGACGCACGUCACAUGGACGCACAGUCACGCACAUGGGUGCCGUGACUCGGAUCGGGGGACCUCCCUUGGGAGAUCAAUCCCCUGUCUUCCUGCUCUUUUUCCAUAAGAAAGAUCCACCUAUGACCUCUGGUCCUCAGACCAACCAGCCCAAAGAACAUCUCACCAAUUUUAAAUUGGGUAAGGAUGGGGCAGAGAAGGUUCUCAAGCAAUAUUCUGAAAUGAGCAUGAAUCGAUGAAUCAUUUUCCAGAGCUUGGGGGCUUUCCAGGGACAGUGAGCCCCAGGAAUCUGACACAUGGACUCUUACCAAGAGAAAUGGAAUUCCUGAGUGGGGACUGCACAGGAAGCAGUAACGCUUUUCAGCAUAAACUGUAGUCAUCCUGGCCAGGGCUGCAGGCAAGUGAGGGAGCAGCUGCGCCCGGGGUCUAGCAAAGCCCUGGUUCCUCCAGUGAGACCCAAAGCAUCUCCUGAAGGAAGGUCUCUUAAACGACCCUCAGAAUCGGAUUUCGCUCUGCAUCGAGUUUUCUGAAACUUGAAGAUCAAAUGCUGAGGUUACAAAUGCUUUCCAUUAUUUUCUUCAUGGUUUUCUAGAUUUUAAAACAUUGCUCUAGCCAGGGUGUUUUCCCAGCCCCCACGUCCAUGGCACCCCCAGUCUCUUCUCUGCACAUCUGGAUUUCCUACGGGGUUUCACUGGUGUCCAGGGCCGUCACCCAAAGGUGCCUGGCCUGGAGUAAGCAGAGGCUGGAACACAGCCUGAGCCUGGAACACAGCCUGAGCCCUGCUUGUCAAGUUCUGCUUCUGACCAGCGGAGGGGGGCCCAGACUGGGUGCCUAUUUCUAAUUCCUGGAAAGGUAUGUGCCCGCCGAGGCCCAGCUGGUGUCCCCCUCUAGAUGAAGUCACCUGCUGGGGCCACCACGACCCACCUGGGGCCCGCUGCCAGAUCCCACCAGCCUCUGCCGCCUUUGCCCGGUGCCACUGCCACUGCCCCAGGUCACCACCAUGAUGAUGAACCAGGCUCCCCAUGAGGUGCCAUAGCGGCACUAUGUUGUCUGGGGUCUUCCAAGCCACGUUGUUACAGGAAAAUGCUACACUUCCCAGAUGGUUUCAAAGUGCAAGCUGCAAUAACUCACAGAGCUUUGGUGAAGUCACUCAUUCUAUUUUAACUCAACUAUGGAACUAACUCUACUGUUGAAGGCAUGAGGGCGCCGGGCGGGGGAAUGAACCAGAGUGGUGGCCAUUCUGUGGGCCUUCCAACAUUCCUCAUCUUCGAGAUUUGUCAGUAAGGGAUUCUUACUGAUUCAGACUUGGGUCUGGGUCCUCUUUGUGAAGAUACACUUUGUGUCCUCAAAUUUGAAUGUUUUCCCAGAAAGCUCUUGUGUCCCCAAGACAGAUUUCUGGUGGCCUCCCCAUCACUGAGCCAGGCAGGCCCACACAUGCCUGCCCCAGGCUUAGGGUGGGGCGUGCUCCAUCAGAAAGAACAGGUCGAUCUUCUUUCCUUCUUCCCUUCCUUCCAGGUUACACAGCGACAUGCAAAGUCCUCCCCAGUAUGGACCACAUUGAAGCAGGUGUGAGGCAGACACCAGGGCUUCCCAGCCACCAGGCUUCUUUGGCCACUUUUUCGUCUUGUCCUGGUAGAAGGUGGCCAUGAAUCCAAGCACCCCUUCCAGCCUCACGAGAUGAAUUAAUUAGCCUAAACUGUUUGUGGUAAUUCCUUUCCCCUUGUGAGCAAUUUGGCACUUUUUGGCACCCAGUCUCUGGUGUGACCUCGCCAUCCUCAUUGGCACAGCCACCCUGGGAACAAAAGCCAUCCUCACGUGUCGCUGAGAUCCCAGCCAUGUGCACACUCAGCCCAGGUAGGCUGCAAGGGCAGAAGCCUCUGAGACCCACUGACUCUUAGCCUUAAUUCUUCCAAAUCAACUUUAAUUUGCCCCAAAUCCCCACACACCAGGACUGUGCCCAGGCUGUGGGGGUCUUACACAGCGUGAAAACUUCAGGAACUUCCUGCUGUCAUCAGUUACUGGUCUUCCUAUUUACCGUUUGGACAACCACAGACUGAAGGAAUCUGAAAUGGACCCGUCGGGUCAGUGGCUCUGAGCCACUGUGGGAAUGUCUGGCAAGGCUGGAAGCCCUGGGGUCUAAGGUCCAGGGGGCCAAGGUGCACCUGGGCUGGCCUUUUGUUCACAGGCUUCCCUGUGAUCUCCCUCCAGCCUGGGAGAAAAAAAAAAAUCUCUCUUCCAUGCUCCUCUCAAAGGCACCCCCUGCAGGACAUCCACACGGUCUCUCUGGGAGCUUGGGCUUUUAUUAAAGACACAGCAAGCCUGCCUUGCCAAAAUCCCUCAGACAAGGCCAUGCCAAGGGCUGGCGACCUCCUGGUAAUGUGAGAAGACACCAGAAGAACACGUACUCCUUUUUCAAUUAACUGUCCCCCCAUCUUUCCGAGGAAAUCUGACUCCUGUACCAAGCUUGCCUUCUAAACAGGUUGAGAGCCUAGAAGCCAAGGGACAGGGCUGUGAGGGGAAAGACUGGGCCCAGCCAGUGAGUGGGGGGCAGCCUGGGAGGAGCAUGUUGGCAGCAUGAGCCCAGCAGGGAAAGAAGGCCUCUGGCCUCUGUCCUGAAUGGCAGGAGGAAGUCACCGUCGGCCACCCUCACAGCCCAGGGUUGGGGCUUCUGGAGUGACUGAUAUCACCCCACGUAUGAAUCUGGCCCUGAUGCCAAGGACUGUGAUUCAACAAGGCAACUGGGGCCAUACACAGGGGUGCUGGGCCCUGUAGGAGACAGUGGCAAGGCCCUGCUCUCAGGCUCCUGGGUCCCAGUGGGGAGGCAGCCUCAUGCAUGGAUCCUUAGCCCGUGAGGAGCAGGAUGGCUGCAAUAAGGAGGAGGAAGCCUGAACAGCUGAUUCCUCCUUGGGCGGUGGGUGGGGUUGGCUCUGUGGGAUCUGAGAAGGCUUCUUGGGAGAGGUUGGGUUUAAGUUAGGACCUUGAGACAGGCAGGAGGAAGCCAUUCUAGAGAAAGGUGGCAGUUUCUGGGAGGGGUUUAUAAUUGAAGCUGGGGCAUCAGGGGUAUGUCAGAAGAAGGAGGGGCAGUGGAAAAUAAGCUUGUAAAAACAGCUUGAGGCCAAACCACAAAGAACACUGAAUGCCUGGGGAGGGGGAGUUUAGUUUGAAUUUUUAUUGUUUAUGCAUGGUCAUAGUUUAAGGAUCCCUGCCCCCAGUCUCAGAUUUUGCCUUUUCCUGCUUCCCAAGCUUUCAGCUGGUUCUUUUAGUAUUUACCUUCAUAGCUGUAAAUAUUAUGCUUAGAUUACUAUUUGAUUUUUCUACUUAUAAUGUCAUUCGUUGAGUUUCUGCUACAGAAGAUGAGAUGUUUAUGUAUAGUGAGAGCAGUAUACAUAAACAUACUUCCUAUCCCUUCAAAUAGAGUUACAUUAUAAUUUUAGUUCAUUAAUAGUUUGCAUUACAUUAUUAUUACUACAUCAACAAUACUCACAGCUGAAUCAUAUAGUAGACCAUGGUAACCUUUUGCUUGCUUAUUUUGUACUUUUCCUGAAAUUAAUCAUUACCUUGUUGUUUGCUUCUUUGUUUUAGUUUGUUUAAGUUUCUAAGUACUUAUUACUAAUGAAACCCCAAAGUUUUUGUCAAGUAUAGACAUCUCCUUUCAGGCUGUUCAGAAAGCCUGUGGUGUCCUACCAACUUCACCCUCCUGGGAAGCUCUUCUGAACCCUAGAGUCCUGUGCAUAACCAUUUGGGAAAAUCCCUUCAUCUCUCUCCUGGGUUAAGGUCCCCUUGCCUUCUUCCUCAUUUCACCCCUAUGUUUUGAUAGAGCACAUCCCCCAGUAGCUUUCUGAGAAAAGGUGCAUUUGGGGCCGUGAUACUUGAAUACCUGGAAAAGUCUUUUCUACCCUUGCAGUUGAUUGAUAGGUUGGCUGGGUAUAGGUUUUAGGUUAGAAAUCAUUUUCCUUUAGAAUUUUGAAAACACUGCUCCAUUGCUUUAAAAAAUGUUGCAACUGAGAAACAUAAAGCCAGCUUGAUUUCUGUCUCCUUUGUAUGUGAUGGGAUUUUUUUUUUCUGUUCUUCUGGGAGCUUUUACAUCUUCUCUUUGUCCCCAGUGUUGUGAAAUUUCACAAUAACCGACCUUGCUGUAGGUCUCUUCAUCCAUUGUGCUGGAAUGGGCCCUUUUAAUGUGGAAACUUGUCCCUCUUGUCUGGGACAUUUUCUUGAAAUAUUUCCUUGACAAUUUCUCUGACAGUAGGUAUUUUUUUCCACCCUUUGAAUAUAGAUGGAAAUACCAUUUUCCCCAGAAUGUAACCAGAUCUUGUCGUUCUAGAAUGUAGCCAGGGAAGCAAAGGCAUCCAGCUAAGUUUGCCUGUGGUAGGAGUCAGAGCGUAAGCUUACUUUGGAAAGGGAGUUCUGCGGUCCACUUUCUGCCUCCGCUGAAGGCCUUCAUGUCGAUGAAGUGCCUGGGAGGUCCUAAGUCUCAUCUUAUUAGAGAAACUGCUCCUGAACAGCCUAAGAUGUCACCCCAUGCAUCAGUUCAUAGUCUCUUACUCUGCUUGAUUUUACUUGCCACAUCAUAGGUGCUCAAUGCUCAUUGUUUGUCAAAUUGAAUUAUUUGGGACACAAUUUUCCCGUCUGUAAAAUGAAGGUGCUGGACUAGAAUUCUAAAAGUCCCAGUAGCUCCAAUGUCCAACAACUAUGCUUAUGUCACUGUGUUGGAAAAUGACUUAUAAAAGGGAAUGAAAUAGUCUCUGUAAAUAUGUUUCUCUGCCCACAUUUAAUGAAUUGUCUACCACAAUGAGGGGGAGUCCUAUUU